UACGAAGGGGGCUAGCGUUGCUCGGAAUUACUGGGCGUAAAGGGCGCGUAGGCGGCACUGUUAGUCAGGCGUGAAAUCCCCUCAGCUUAACUGGGGAACUGCGCCUGAUACUGGUUGGCUUGAGUUUGGGAGAGGGACGCGGAAUUCCAGGUGUAGCGGUGAAAUGCGUAGAUAUCUGGAGGAACACCGGUGGCGAAGGCGGCGUCCUGGACCAAUACUGACACUGAGAAGCGAAAGCAUGGGGAGCGAACAGG
rnacentral:rRNA from 1 species